UCCAUUUUAAGCGUUUGAAUAACCCUGCAUAACUAAACGUGCAAGGUGAAACUUUGGGAAAUGUUGAUCAGGAAAAAUAGAGGAGGAGUUGGUACUGGUGUUAAAUUAUUUUCUUUUAUAUUUGGUUUGUUAGGAGGAUUUUAUAUUUAUUUGCCAAUUAUUCAAAAAGCAGCUGCACACCAGAAAAAGGAAAAGGCCAAGGAGGAGACGAGCGAGACGGAUACCAACACCACCGAAGCACCUUGAGUGUUCCAGUAACUCUAUCUCUAUUUCCGGUAGAAAAUCAGGAAGAAGAUGCCAUUUUUGCCAAGAAGAAUGUUAGCAGUUAUAUCUGUGUCAUCAUUUGUUCUGUGUUUGGCUGAUGUGCUUUCUCGCAGAAGAGAUUCAUCUCAAGACCCAGAAAUACACAGAUUGUCUCGGCACAAAGAACUUUAUCAGAACAAUGAAGUGACGAAUAAGGAGGAAAUGACUUGUUAAAAACAAAGAAUCAUGAUAAAAUUGAUUUUAAUUUGUGUUUGAUGAAUGGAGGGUGAAAUGGUAUCUGUGAUAACAUGCAUUUGUAGAUUGAUGGCAACUUUAGUUCAUUGUUCCUAGCCAAACAUGCUUAACCCCUAAAAACAUUAACACAUACCUAAAGGCUAUACAUGGCAGUCUACACUGUAUAUGACUGUCAGGAAUCUUCCUCUACAUAGAUUUUCUAGAUAACAUAGAAAUCAAGAUUGUAUUAAAUAAGACCAAGUCUCGGAGCACUUUUCUUCUUGAGGCCCAACAAGUAGACCCUCCAUGCGAGUGGAACUGAACCAGUUACAGUAUGUUUAAAUUUUUACAUACACCAAUACUAUGUUGACCUAUUAUCUGGAAGCUCGUAACCUUUGUAGGUAGAGAUGUAAUAUGUAAAUGGGUAAAACCUCUGGUAAGGAUCUUGUAUAUAAUAAAAUUUGUUGUUUAAUAA